AAAGUGGUGAAGAUCUCAGCGUUUUCAGUUGCUAUACAGUUCACAAUAUUGAAGAUGAAGCUGGUACUCGUACUUCUCAUCUUAUCUUCCCUACUCAGCGUUGCAGUCACAUUUCCGGCAAUGUACGUAUGUAGCUCCCCGAUUCCGACCCCCUAUGAAAGAUCUUGAGUCAAGCGUCGGAGUAUCCAGAGACACAGGGCUUGAUAAGAGGGAAUCCGUAGAACUGUUAGAGAUUCGGAGAUAUAUGAGGGGAACGAGGAACCAGGAAGUCCCGAACAAUAAUGACAAUUAGGAAAACAUUGAAUGUUUCGAGUUCAAAGUCAUGCAUGAAUAAAAAAAAAGGUUAAAAAAAU